AUUGAACGCUGGCGGCAGGCCUAACACAUGCAAGUCGAGCGGAGCGGCGGACGGGUGCGUAAUGCCUAUGACUCUGCCUGGUCGUGGGGGAUAACGUUCGGAAACGGGCGCUAAUACCGCAUACUUUCUGAUUAGCCUAGGUCGGAUUAGCUAGUUGGUGGGGUAAAGGCCUACCAAGGCGACGAUCCCUAACUGGUCUGAGAGGAUGAUCAGUCACACUGGAACUGAGACACGGUCCAGACUCCUACGGGAGGCAGCAGUGGGGAAUAUUGGACAAUGGGCGAAAGCCUGAUGCAGCCAUGCCGCGUGUGUGAAGAAGGUCUUCGGAUUGUAAAGCACUUUAAGUUGGGAGGCGUUACCAACAGAAUAAGCACCGGCUAACUCCGUGCCAGCAGCCGCGGUAAUAC
rnacentral:rRNA from 1 species